UGUCAGGUAGGGUGGAGGUGAUAUGGUCCUUGACUAGUCUCUCAGCACUUCAUGAUGACGGAAGUGAGUGCUACGGGGCGGUAGUCAUUUAGCUCAGUUACCUUAGCUUUCUUGGGAACAGGAACAAUGGUGGCCCUCUUGAAGCAUGUGGGAACAGCAGACUGGGAUAAGGAUUUGAUUGAAUAUGUCCGUAGAGACACCAGCCAGCUGGUCUGCACAUAUGCUCUCAGGACGCGGCUGGGGAUGCCGUCUGGGCCUGCAGCCCUGCGAGGGUUAACAAAUUUAAAUGUUUUACUCACGUCGGCUGCAGUGAAGGAGAGUCCGCAAGUUUUGGUAGCGGGCCAUGUCAGUGGCACUGUAUUGUCCUCAAAGCGAGCAAAGAAGUUAUUUAGUCUGUCUGGGAGCAAGACAUCCUGGUUCGCCAUGGGGCUGGUUUUCUUUUUGUAAUCCUCCGUGAUUGACUGUAGACCGUGCCACAUACCUCUUGUGUCUGGUUAAAAGCAGUGGUUUGCGCGUUCAGUUCCACGUGAAUGCUGCCAUCAAUCCACGGUUUCUGGUUUGGGAAUGUUUUAAUAGUUGCUGUGGGUACGACAUCGCCGAUGCACUUUCUAAUGAACUCGCUCACCGAAUUAGCGAAUUCGUCAAUGUUGUUGUUGGACGCAAUGCGGAACAAAUCCCAAUCCACGUGAUCGAAGCAGUCUUGAAGCGUGGAAUCAGAUUGGUCGGACCAGCGUUGACUUUGUCUUGAUGUACUUGGGUGUAUGCACUACCCCCUAUAGUGCCUUGCGGUCGCAGUUGCCAUACCAGGCAGUGAUGUAACCAGUCAGGAUGCUCUCAAUGGUGCAGCUGUAGAACCUUUUGAGGACCUGAGGACCCAUGCCAAAUCUUUUCCGUCUCCUGAGGGGGAAUAGGUUUUUUCGUGUCCUCUUCACUACUGUCUUGGUGUGCUUGGACCAUGUUAGUUAGUUUGUUGUUGAUGUGGACACCAAGGAACUUGAAGCUCUCAAGCUGCUCCACUAAAGCCCCGUUGAUGAGAAUGGGGGAGUGCUUGGUCCUCAUUUUCCUGUAGUCCACAAUCAUCUCCUUUGUCUAGAUAACGUUGAGAGAGCGGGUGUUGUCCUGGCACCACACGGCUAGGUCUCUGACCUCCUCCCUAUAGGCUGUCUCAUCGUUGUUGGUGAUCAUACCUACCACUGUUGUGUCAUCGGCAAACUUAAUGAUGGUGUUGAAGUCAUGCCUGGCUGUGCAGUCAUGAGUGAACAGGGAGUACUGGUGGGGACUGAGCACACAUCCCUGAGGGGCACCCGUGUUGAGGAUCAGCGUGGCAGAUGUGUUGUUACCUACCCUUACCACCUGGGGGCGGCCUGUCAGGAAGUCCAGGAUCCAGUUGCAGAGGGAAGUGUUUAGUCCCAGGGUCCUUAGCUUAGUGAUGAGCUUUGAGGGCACUAUGGUGUUGAACGCUGAGCUGUAGUCAAUGAACAGCAUUCUCACAUAGGUGUUCCUUUUGUCCAGGUGGGAAAGGGCAAGGUGGAGUGCAAUAGUGAUUGGGGCGUAUGCAAAUUGGAGAGGGUCUGGGAUAAUGGUGUUGAUGUGAGUCAUGACCAGCCUUUCAAAGCAAUUCAUGGCUGCAGACGUGUUCUUGGGCACAGGGACUAUCAUGGUCUGCUUAAAUGUUGGCAUUACAGACUCAGACAGGGAGAGGUUGAAAAUGUCAGUGAAGACACUUGUUGGUCAGUGCAUGCUCAGAGUACACGUCCUGGUAAUCCUUCUGGCCCUGCGGCCUUGUGAAUGUUGACCUGUUUAUUAAAGGUCUUACUCACAUUGGCUGCGGAGAGCGUGAACACAGUCGUCCGGAACAGCUGAUGCUCUCAUGCAUAUUUCAGCGCCUCGAAGCGAGCAUAUUUAGCGCAUCUGGUAGGCUUGUGUCACUGGGCAGAUCGCGGCUGUGCUUACCUUUUGUAGUCUGUAAUUUUUUUCAAGCCCUGCCACACCCGACGAGCAUUGUAGGCAGUGUAGUAAGAUUAUGUUCUUAAAAAUGUGUUCUAAGAGUGCAGAUCUCCUAAUGCACUGAGAUUAGGAGGGUCAAAUCCCACAAAUAAUUCCUCAUUAAAACAACUCAUCAGGUGAGUCAUGGAAGUAUAUUGUGUAUGUUUUCCAUGGUUGUCACAACUUCUGCCGAAGUCAUUGCCUCUCCUUGUUCGGGCGGUGCUCAGCGUUCGACGUCACCGGUCUUCUAGCCAUCAUUGAUCCAUUUUUAAUUUUCCAUUGGUUUUGUCUUGUCUUCCCACACACCUGUUUUCAAUCCCAUUCAUUACCUGUUGUGUAUUUAACCCUCUGUUUCCCCUCAUGUCUUUGUCAGAGAUUGUUUUAUUGUCAGUGUUGUUUAUUUGUUGUGUUGGUGCGCGACAGGUCCUCGUACCCAUGUUUGUUCAUGUCUGUACUUUUAGUGUUAUGGAGCAUGUUCCGUGGACAUUUAUUAACCUCUUGCUCCUACUGAGACGCUUGCAUCCCAUCUAGAGCUCUGGAAAUGCAAAUGCGCUACGCUAAAUGCUAAUAGUAUUAGUUAAAACUCAAACGUUCAUUAAAAUACACAUGCAGGGUAUUGAAUUAAAGCUACACUCGUUGUGAAUCCAGGCAACAAGUCAGAUUUUUAAAAUGCUUUUCGGCGAAAGCAUGAGAAGCUAUUAUCUGAUAGCAUGUAACACCACAAAAGACCCGCAGGGGACGUAAACAAAAUAAUUAGCAUAUUCAGCGCUACACAAACCGCACAAUAAAAUAGAAAACAUUCAUUACCUUUGACCAUCCUCUUUGUUGGCACUCCUAGAUGUCCCAUAAUCACUAUUGGGUCUUUUUUUCGAUUAAAUCGGUCCAUAUAUAGCCUAGAUAUCGUUAUAUGUAGACUGUGUGAUAAACGGGGAAAAAAGCGUUUCAUAACGUAACGUCAUUUUUUAAAAUUCAAAAAGUCGACGAUAAACUUUCACAAAACACUUCGAAAUACUUUUGUAAUGCAACUUUAGGUAUUAGUAAACGUUAAUAAGCGAUCAAAUUAAUCACAAGACGAAGUCUAUAGCUGUCCGUCUGGAAAAAUGUCCGGGUAGAAACUCAACCAAAAUAUCCGGUCCGAGACCUGAAGAACUGCGCUGCCUUGCAUCUGUUUGACCAAGAAACAAAUAGUAGGCAAAUGACAAGACUCUAGACACCGUGUGGAAGCUGUAGGUACUGCAACCUCAGCCCCAUUAAUUGUGGUUCACCUUUAUCAAUGGGUUCAAGUCGCGCAGGGAUAUAUUUUUCCAUUUUCAGUGAUCAGAUUUUCCUGCGCUUUCCGAUGAAACGCACGUUAUGUUAUAGCCACAGCCGUGAUUUAACCAGUUUUAUAAACGUCUGAGUGUUUUCUAUCCACACAUACUAAUCAUAUGCAUAUACUAUAUUCCUGGCAUGAGUAGCAGGGCGCUGAAAUGUUGCGCGAUUUUUAACAGAAUGUUCGAAAAAUUAGGGGGUAGAAGGAAGAGGUUAAAAGACUCCAUUUUACACUCCAUUUUGACUCUCCUGCGCCUGACUUCCCUGCCACCUAUACACACGGCGCUGACAAUGGUAUUCACAUGGUAUUCACAACCACCACUAUGUUAAUAAAUGAAUCUGCCAAGUGCUUUCCAAGCUUCUCCAUGCAGUUCAUAUUUUCAUUGACUAUAAAGUUGGAGCAAAGCUAAUGCAGUGUCAUCAACUUGUGCAUUUGGUUGUUGCUGUUUGUGAGACACCAGUUUAAGAUUGCAUUCUUCAGUGAACUCAAGCAUGAUACACAGAAUGGACUCUAGUAAGUCCAAUUCAGCUCUGCUGGCUUGUGUCUUGUAAAUUACCAGUCUUACAAUGCAUCCCUCUAGUGAAUGUAUGUAUUUUUGAUAACCGUGCAACACAUCAUUAGUACUAUUUGCGAUCCUAGUACUACAGGACUGCCUACAGCCUUGUACAUGAGCUGAGAGCCCAUGUGACCAACAUGAUGGAUUCAUAAACUACAAGGUAUUUUGGAUCAUUAUGAACUGUAAUGCGGACGUUGUGCUACAUAUACAGUUUGCUAUAAUCUUGUGUGCACAAGUAAACCGGUUGGGUUACAUGUUUAACAUACAAAUAUUUUCCGUUUUCAGAUCUGUCGACUAUGCUUCCAACACAACACACCUUUGGAUGCCAUCGCUCAGUUCAGGAAGCAUAUUGAUUUGUGCAAGAAGAAGAUUAGCAGAGCUGGCGUUUGAGCACAAUGCUUGGAUGUCAAAGCAGUAAGAGGUCAAUUCCCACUCCACUGAAGCCAUCCUUAAUAUAACCAAUCUUCACCCAUUUCCUCACUCCCAGGUUCCAGUCCUUUUGUGACCUGUUUGAUGCCCAGGAACACAAGCAGCAAGCAACUCACCUUUGUGCCCAUGAGGUUUGGCAAUGCAUGUGUGACGCAGAAGGCUGUCAUUUACAAGACAGUACAAUCAUUCAAGCUUACACACAUGCAUCCCCACCCAUGACAGUUAUCAUCUGUUGAGACUAUUUUGUUAUCCCGACCCAGAGACCCUGGAGACAGGAAUGCAGGGAAGGAGAAAGGAGGCAUCCUGGCACUGCAAGUGAAAGAGAAGGAUGUUCCCCACUCGCGCUGUGGCUCAGUUCAAGAAAUACAAGUGUCCUCGCAUGAAAAGCCACCGGAUGGCGCAGAUGGGAGAGAAGUACUACCAAGCCAAGGACUACACCAAACCAAACGUGACGCAGAAAACGGAGCGAUUUCUCCUAAACAAAUAAUCUUUCAGGAAAAACUGAACAUUUGCUAUCUAACUGAGAGUCUCCUCAUUGAAAACAUCUGAAGUUCUUCAAAGACUGCUGGACUAUGUGAUGUGUGACUACUGUACAGAGUGCUGGUUGAGCCUGCUCACCUCCAUCCUCGGCACAGUGCUACGGUGCUCCUAUCUGAUUACCCACGUCAAGAAGUACAUCACUUCAUGGAGCUGGUCGGAAAAGGUAUACUACAGAGGCACUACACUCUCGUACAGGACAUUCUUCAACUACACCCAGCUCUCCAAGAUGACAUUUCCGGUAACACUUUACUUGACCCCGAGUCCGUACGGGAGUUGCAGCGAUGGGACAAGACUGUAACAGCAUUGUCAUGACUCUCCUGACAGUGGAUCAAAGGACCCAUUAGCUAGGAAAAUACGCUAAGAUAGCCAGACCCCCUCUCUCUCACAGAAGAAGGGAAGCGGGGGGUCUGUGCCAAUCUUGACACGUAAAUCUUGAGAGAACUUUCUCUUCCUUGCCCUGUAAUAUUGGAAGACUGAAACUCCUUUGUUAGACUUUUGCCGGCAAAACGUUUUCUCUCCAAGAGAAUGAACUUUGAAACAAUAUUCAUAAGAUAGGAAUAUUAAGUGGUCCGGGGAUCUAAAGGAUAAUCCUGUCACAAUGUAUAUUAUUUUGUGAUGUCAUUAAAGAUGGUAUAACAAUGUAACUGUAAGUUAGGAAGGAAACACAUCCUAUCUGUCAAGUUUACAUCUAAAUGCUACAUGAAAUAAAUUUGUAUUUUUGAAAAGAUAGAAAUGUGAUUUUAGUUUUCUAAUGAGAAUUGUUUUUCAUAUAAUCUAGUCAGUAUCCACGCCUAAGUGAGCUCAGAGUUCAUGUCAGCAUGACAGAACACGCCCAUUUGACAGAGUGCUUAAAAGGACUUGCUAAGAAUGAACAUAUCAGACCAAAACAUGCCGGGUUGCUGCUGGCGUGUAAAGUGGUCGGGUGCAGAAACCCUGAAUAAUCAACCAUUGAUACCAAAAGAUGUGAGACGUUAGUCUACACGUUGAAAUGGUGCGAAACUCUGAAAUUCCCAACCUCAACACUGGAAGAGAAGAUGACCUCACCUAGGAGACCAGAAACAUUAACUGUCUGCAGUUGUGCACGUGAAAGUGGUCCUAGAACUUUGACUAAAGACAAAAGGUGUGAAGGAGAAUCCCCAUAACCAUUGGUACGUCUGAAGUAACUGUUCCAACAAACACUCUACCACCAGAGAAGAUCUUCAAAGAAGGACAUUAUGACCUCUGAUGGACAACCAAUGCCUUAUUUCGAUCCACUACCCAUAGACGGAUCGAUUGGUUUCAACAGCGAGACGACAGAGAAAGAUAAUAAAUAUAUAUUGCAUUUCUAAUUCAAAUGAGCGGUGGUUAGGGUGCUUAGUAUUCUGGUUACUGUGAGCCUAGUGUCCAAAUGUAUGUGCGAUAAGUUGACUCUCUGUCUCUCCCUCUCUUUAUCUUUCCCCACCCCCUUUCCAUUGUGAAACAAGGCCUCAUAUCAUGUCAAUCCACAAGGGACUUUUAAAUCAUGUAUGUGUAUUCUGUGUUUUUAUUUAGUUAGUAAAUAAAUGAUUA